rnacentral:tRNA from 1 species
GCCCCCGUAGCUCAGGGGAUAGAGCAACAGACUUCUAAUCUGUCGUGCGCAGGUUCGAUUCCUGCCGGGGGCGCCA